CACUUAAGAAAUUGUAGUUAGGAGGCGCUGAUUCAAUUAGUACGACUGAGUGUAAGAGAGGGCUGAUUGGCAGAUCCGACUUUGUCACUAUACUUAGCGACUAUAUGGUGAAAUACAAGAUUUUGCAGAUACAUUCCAAUUUUGUAAGGUAUCUGCCAAAAUCGGAAUGGGCAGGUCAGGCUUUUUAAAGAUUGGUGAUCUGCCAUGAAUCGGUGCACUAGUAACUGUUACAGCAGAAUCAUCAGCUGGGUUUUUUUUUUUUUUUUUUUCUGGAAACCCCAGUUUUAUUCUGCAAUGGGAGCAUGUUUCUCCCAUUUUCAUCUCUUCUCCAGAGCAAAUGCCUUUUCAGCCUCAGCACACGUCACCACCAACAGCAGUUUGUUGUGUACCCCACAUUAUACUGCAUUAAAAGUGCUGAGAAAACAA